rnacentral:lncRNA from 1 species
AAAAAAAAAAAACAAUUCAUGAUACAAACAUCAAGAUCAACUGGUUAGUAUUUUUACUCAAGCUACCUAAAUUUUCUUCCAAGUAGGCAUAAGAGGGCAAAUAAUUAAAUGAGUUUUGUUGAGAUAUUUUGAUAAUAUGAGGUUUGUAUUUUUUGUAAGAAUUUGUAAUCUAUUAAAGCUGACUAACUAUUAUGUUGAAGUUUAUGCAUUCAUCUGUAUGUUGGGUAGUAUAGUAAAGUUGACCCUGUUUUAGGGAAGAAAGAAACACAAAUUUCACAUUCCCAGAUAAUAUAUGAGAUGCAGGGAUUUCAAAAUUUAAUGUCACUAUACAAAUAGAAAUUUUACACAACUUUAGAAAAGAAACAAACCUGAGUAAAAAGAAAAACCCAGAAAAAGAAAAAUGGAGGACUGCAAACAAAGGAAUAGCAGUGGAGAACUGAGACCAAUAAACCUUUACAUGAAAUCUGCAAAUAAUAAACAGAAAACGAUGAGAUUCUGCAACUAAUCGCUAUAAUUUUACAACAUUGUAAUUUACCCUCUCACUCACUACCAUCAUAACAGAACACAAAUAUAAACUUUCCAUAAAAAAUUUCACAGUUGGGAUAAAAUCAAGCUAUCCAUAUGGAUGCAACAACAUGUAUAUCAAACCUAAAACUCACUUUCCAAGCAUCAGUUUUCAUAUCUAGUCAGUCCCAUUAAUCCAGUUAAUACCAGCUCUCUAUAUUCACAACCUUCCCAAAGCAAACACCCAAAUUAUAACCAAUGCACAUUGCACUUCAGAUUAGUACUGUAUUUGUUCUUAAUUGAGCUCACAUCAAUACUUAUAUCUAAUUGAAGUCUUUAUUAGACUAACGCAUACUUUAUAAAAGCAAAAUUGGAACUUAAAUCAUAUAAAAAUUAUAAAAAAAGAAGUUCUAACAAUACUUAUCUUUCUGCUGGGUGGUUUUUGUAACUGAAGAUUCUGCUGGCCUUUUCUGCAAGCAGGAGUGAUGAAGAUCAAAAUUCUACCACUACCCAGAUUUUGCGAUCACUGGAAGCUGAUGAAGUGGCGCGAAAACGAAAGAAGAAUAAUGAUAGUGAGCGGAAGAAUAAAGACAGGGAAAGAAAGGUGUCGAGAUAUCUGGAAGAUUCAGAGGCGGCAAGAGAGAGAUGCCCAAAAAGUUCUGAUAUCUAAACCCUAGCAAGAUGCCCGCACGUUGCAGCGGGACUUUGGCGUAUUUCUGCUUGUGAUAGCUCCAAUGUUUCAAGCAACCACAAAUAUACUUGAGCUUGUUAAUAGACAGCAGCCCAUUCACAUUGUUUAUUAGGUCGGCCCAGAAACUAAGAAAGCAAAAAAGAAAAAAGGAGUGACAAUACAUUCCAUGAAAGCGCAUCUAACAAAAAGAAAAAUAUGGAAAAUCAUGAAAUCCGAUGAAUGAAUUUUUAACCUCUUUGUCACGCGGUAGCUUUGCUAAGUAGCUCUUUCAACCUCUUGCAAUUCCUUCAUUUAGAAUUGCUGGAUUUAGUAGCUCUUUCAACCUCUUCUUUGUUUUUUUUUAUGUGUAAGCUGUGCUCCCAAGUGUCUUGGACAAAUCAAUCUGCAUAAUUAUGNNNNNNNNNNNNNNNNNNNNAUUCUUGCGGUUUUUAAUGUAUGUCAUACUUAGGAAAUCUUAUAAUGAUUUCCACAUCAGUUAGUUGCAAGUGGUUGGUCCUCUACAUCAGUCCUAUUUGUCUGAGAGUCAAAAUUAAACAAACGCAGAUUACAGUCUAGUAAAGCCUAGGGGUGACGAAGGCGCAGAAGCAAUCAAAUAGAUAGGGAAAAAAAAAACAAAAGAAAAUAGAGUUAAGCGCACUACCUGAAUUUUUUUGAGAUGAAAAGGUUGACCUUCUUAGAUGGCGUAAGCUCCUUAAUCCAAGUAGUCUGGCUUUCUAUCGAAGAAAGAGUUGACAGCAAACAUCUUUGGAAGGAAAAUGAAUGCCUUUCUGAAGCUGAAGCUUGGGCUUUUCUAAAUCUCAGACACUGCUCACAAAACCUAUACAAUGAAAUAACAGUAGACAUGUGAGUUGAUCUUAUCAUGAUUGCUCAUAAAACCCCACAUAUAUAUAUAUAUAUACACAGUUGAGAUCAGAGACGAACGUCCGCACGCCCUUAAAGUGCGGACGUCCCUCCGUUCUCCACCGUACGGCUCCGACGACGGCGCGCCUCCACCCUAGCGUGAGAGAAAGUGAUCAAGGACGCUGCUGGAGGCCGCUAAGGUGGAGGCGCACCGUCGUCGGAGCCGGACGGUGGCGAACGGAGGGACAUCCGCACUUUAAGGACGGUACGGAUGUCCUUUUUGGAACGGCUCCGUAUAUAUAUAUAAAUAUAUAUAUAAACCAAUGUCAAUUUUGCAUUCCUUUUAAACUGUAUGAACCUACCCUCGAUUUUUCAAUUCAAGAAAAUGCCAGAGUAAAACUAUAAGAAAGUAGAUCCUUACACUGGUUGACUGUAAAAGAAACCAAUCGAUUGAUAUAACUAAAAACACAGAUUGCUGCUUUCCAUAUUACAUGCACAGUAAUAUAAUUAGAAGCGCUGAAGUAAAAAGUAAUGUAAUUAAUAUACCUUUUCAGAGUUGAUAUGCCAAGAAGGAUCCAAAAGUUUACACCUGCAAAAAGGAUGCACAUUGAGAUUUUAUCUAAAACAGAAAUUGAAAACAGACUGAAAAUAAAUGAAGCCUAAAAUUGUC